rnacentral:rRNA from 1 species
AUACGGAGGGGGCUAGCGUUGUUCGGAAUUACUGGGCGUAAAGCGCGUGUAGGGGGAUCGUUAAGUCAGGGGUGAAAGCCCGGAGCUCAACUCCGGAAUUGCCCUUGAUACUGGCGAUCUAGAGGCCGGGAGAGGUGAGCGGAAUUCCCAGUGUAGAGGUGAAAUUCGUAGAUAUUGGGAGGAACACCAGUGGCGAAGGCGGCUCACUGGCCCGGUUCUGACGCUGAGACGCGAAAGCGUGGGGAGCAAACAGGAUUAGAUACCCUAGUAGUCC